CCCUUAGAUGUUCUGGGCCGCACACGCGCUACACUGAAGGAGGCAGCGUGUACUCCUGGAUCGAAAGAUUUGGGUAACCCGCGAAUCUCCUUCGUGCUAGGGAUUGAGGUUUGCAAUUAUCCUUCAUGAACGAGGAAUUCCCAGUAAGUGCAAGUCAUAAGCUUGCGCUGACUACGUCCCUGCCCUUUGUACACACCGCCCGUCGCUCCUACCGAUUGAAUGGUCCGGUGAAAAUUUCGGAUACCGGCAUUGCUGGCGGUUCGCCGCCGGCGACGCUGGUAGAAGAUCUUUAAACCUUAUCAUUUAGAGGAAGGAGAANUCGUANCA
rnacentral:rRNA from 1 species